UCUUGGUCCAUUUAGAGGAAGUAAAAGUCGUAACAAGGUUUCCGUAGGUGAACCUGCGGAAGGAUCAUUAAUAAACUAGUCGUUCGUGUAGGGGUAACCUGAUCAUCACGAUGUAAGCUCACUAGUCACCCUUGAAUAAACUACCUUUGUUGCUUUGGCGGGCCGCCCCUCGGGGCCAGCGGCUCCGGCUGCUGCGUUGCCCGCCAGAGGACCACAACUCUUGUUUUUAGUGAUGUCUGAGUACUAUAUAAUAGUUAAAACUUUCAACAACGGAUCUCUUGGUUCUGGCAUCGAUGAAGAACGCAGCGAAAUGCGAUAAGUAAUGUGAAUUGCAGAAUUCAGUGAAUCAUCGAAUCUUUGAACGCACAUUGCGCCCUUUGGUAUUCCGAAGGGCAUGCCUGUUCGAGCGUCAUUAUAACCACUCAAGCUUUCGCUUGGUAUUGGAGCUCGCGGUCUCGCGGCUCCUAAAAUCAGUGGCGGUGCCUGUCGGCUCUACGCGUAGUAAUACUCCUCGCGAUUGAGUCCGGUGGGUAGCUUGCCAACAACCCCCAAAUUUUUACAGGUUGACCUCGGAUCAGGUAGGGAUACCCGCUGAACUUAAGCAUAUCAAUAAGCGGAGGAA
rnacentral:rRNA from 1 species